rnacentral:rRNA from 1 species
CCUACGGGAGGCAGCAGUGGGGAAUAUUGCACAAUGGGGGGAACCCUGAUGCAGCGACGCCGCGUGAGUGAAGAAGUAUUUCGGUAUGUAAAGCUCUAUCAGCAGGGAAGAUAAUGACGGUACCUGACUAAGAAGCUCCGGCUAACUACGUGCAAGCAGCCGCGGUAAUACGUAGGGGGCAAGCGUUAUCCGGAUUUCCUGGGUGUAAAGGGGGCGUAGGUGGCAGGGCAAGUCAGAUGUGAAAGCCCGGGGCCCAACCCCGGUACUGCAUUUGAAACUGUCCGGCUGGAGUGCAGGAGAGGUAAGCGGAAGUCCUGGUGUAGCGGUGAAAGGCGUAGAUAUUAGGAGGAACACCAGUGGCGAAGGCGGUUUACUGGACUGUAACUGACACUGAGGCACGAAAGCGUGGGGAGCAAACAGGAUUAGAUACCCCGGUAGUC